rnacentral:rRNA from 1 species
UACGUAGGGUGCAAGCGUUGUCCGGAAUUAUUGGGCGUAAAGAGCUCGUAGGCGGUUUGUCGCGUCUGCUGUGAAAACCCGAGGCUCAACCUCGGGCCUGCAGUGGGUACGGGCAGACUAGAGUGCGGUAGGGGAGAUUGGAAUUCCUGGUGUAGCGGUGGAAUGCGCAGAUAUCAGGAGGAACACCGGUGGCGAAGGCGGGUCUCUGGGCAGUAACUGACGUGGAGGAGCGAAAGCGUGGGGAGUGAACAGG